rnacentral:rRNA from 1 species
CGGGUGAGUAAUGUCUGGGAAACUGCCUGAUGGAGGAGGAUAACUACUGGAAACGGUAGCUAAUACCGCAUAACGUCGCAAGACCAAAGAGGGGGACCUUCGGGCCUCUUGCCAUCGGAUGUGCCCAGAUGGGAUUAGCUAGUAGGUGGGGUAACGGCUCACCUAGGCGACGAUCCCUAGCUGGUCUGAGAGGAUGGCCAGCCACACUGGAACUGAGACACGGUCCAG